rnacentral:tRNA from 1 species
AUGGAUAUAGCUCAGUGGCAUAGCACCUGCUUGGAAAGCAUGAGGUUGUGAGUUCAACUCCCAAUACCAAAA